ensembl:lncRNA
GGAAUCGUCCAGCAGUUCUUGGUCUUGCUGACAACCAGUUCUGAUGAAAGUCUUCGAUUUCUUAGCUUUAGAUUGGACUUCAAUGAACAUUAUAAAGCAAGAGAACCAAGGCUUCGUAUUUCUCUGGGCACUAGAGGCAGACGAAGCUCACAUAUGUGAAACAGUUUCUAGUAACUACACCUCAGUAUCCGAAGGAUGUUGAACCUCUUGUUGGACAAUGCAAUCAGUGUCAACAUAAUUACACCAAGUGGCGUGCGAUAGGUGUCCACCAUUUCUGCAGGCAACGUUUCCCGUCAUGUGAUUGUGUGACACUAUAUAGCAGAAAGCAAAGUUUCCCAUGGCUGUGUGAGCUUCCCCAGGGACACUGCAGCUGGUGGGGCUGCACCCUCCUGUUGUGGCCUUCCUGCUGGAUCCUGCGAGGGCCUUUAUUGCUUUCCUUCUUCUGCAAGCUGGCAACAGGGGUGACAAGUGUUUUCAGAGGCGGCAACUGUUUGACUACGUUCCUCUGGAAAGCCCCCUCUGACUUUUCUCUACCUGAAGACGUUCGGUUCUGCGCAUGGAAGACCAUCGCGCUAACCCCCAGCAGCCUCUGGUCUCACAUUAGCGCUCCUCUAAUCCAUUGCUCAGAGCUGCAUGGCCAUCCUUGGCAGCGCCUCCUUCCCCUUGCAGUCCCCAAAUCCGACAGGAUCCAGUGGAGCAGUCCUGGUGAGUUCAUGGAUAACCAUUUGCGUGCCACAUCUCAUCUGCACUCCCCCAUUCGGAUGAAUGAAACCUUAAUGACAGCCCGAGUCGGGAAACCAAAUUGAUGAUGGGACCAAGGGCAUCCCUUGAUGGAGUGCAGCUCCCUGACAGCUCCUCUCGCUCAUCCAACCCUGCCAUAAGCGCUGUGCAUUACACCCAGACAGAAAGGACCAAAAGAGCCAAGGACUCGCACCGUUUUAACCCACCAUUUUUAUUCUUCUAUUCGGAAUAUUCCUCUGAAGUACAAUGUCCCUGUUGGUAAUGAGAACACACACACUUGGAACGAUCGGCUUGGGGUAAAUUGAGGGCAAUGCAGAUAUCUGAGGAAGAGUCAUAACCACCCUCUGAGCUCCUCUGGUAUCUAGGCUGCAAUGAACGUUUUGAAUUCAUGGCAUUAAAUAACUGGGCAAGCUCUGUUGCAAAGUUCACCAGAAGUGGACUGGAGCUGUUGCUGAGAUUUUCAUUUUUUAUGGCGAGCUCAUCCUUUUUUCUCUCGCUUCCUGGUUUUGCUCGGCCUUCCUCUAUACUUGACUCUUCUCUGUUGGAAGCAGCGGCAGGAUUAGCUGGUACCGCUUCUCUGCAACAAUGAGAAUGGCUUUCAGCAAAGAGUACUCACUGCUAGGAAGGAAGAGUCCAGUUAAAAAAAGUUUACAGCAGACGUCUCAACAGCUCACCAGGCACUCCAUGCUACUAUCACUACACAUGCUUUGUUGCUAAAAUAUAGAAAAUAUAAAGAAUGUCGGAAAAGAACAACUCACCGUUUUCUCUUCCUCAUCAGGAAAAUAACUAUACAUGUCAGCACUAGCCCAAACAAUACGGAACCCGAGACUGCAGCAGGGAGGACCAAAYGAUGCUUUUCUACGGCUUUAUGAUCCGCAGCCUCUGCACCUUUGUCACCACCAAGACCUGGUGGUGGAAAGGAGACAAUCCCAUAUAUCACUGGGUUCUGCAGUAAUGAUAAUCUCACUGUGUGGCUGGGAUUCCCAGGCACUUUUACAUUCCCUGUUGUUACUAUCGCUGAUUCUGGUGUCUUGGCACCGGCGGACAAUAAAGUUCAUUUACACUUCUCUUGGGCA